rnacentral:rRNA from 1 species
AUUUACUCUGCCCAAUGAUGAAAAUUUAAUGGCCGCAGUAUUUUGACUGUGCAAAGGUAGCAUAAUAAAUAGUUUUUUAAUUGAAGACUAGGAUGAAGGAGGGGAUGAAAUUUUAACUGUCUCUAAUUAAAAAAUAAAAAUUUAUAUUAAGUAAAAAAUCUUAAAUAAAUUUAAGGGACGAUAAGACCCUAUAGAAUUUUAAAUUUUUAUUAAAAUAAGAUUAAAUAAUUUAUUGAUUUAUUUAAAUAAAAAUUUUUGAUUGGGAGGAUAUUAAAAUUUAAUAAACUUUUAAUUUUAAAAAACAUUAAUUUAUGAAAUAUUUAAUAUAAUUAUAUAAAUAAAAUAAAAUUACCUUAGGGAUAACAGCGUAAUAAAUUUUUAAAGUUCAUAUUAAAAAAUUUGAUUGCGACCUCGAUGUUGAAUUAAAAUAAAAUUUAAGUGUAGAAGCUUAAUAUUUAAGUCUGUUCGACUU